rnacentral:rRNA from 1 species
GUUACCUACGGGGCGCAGCAGUGGGGAAUAUUGCACAAUGGGGGAAACCCUGAUGCAGCAACGCCGCGUGAGUGAAGAAGUAUUUCGGUAUGUAAAGCUCUAUCAGCAGGGAAGAGAAUGACGGUACCUGACUAAGAAGCCCCGGCUAACUACGUGCCAGCAGCCGCGGUAAUACGUAGGGGGCAAGCGUUAUCCGGAUUUACUGGGUGUAAAGGGAGCGUAGACGGCUGGCCAAGUCUGAAGUGAAAGCCCGGGGCUUAACCCCGGAACGGCUUUGGAAACUGGGGAUCUUGAGUGGGCGAGAA